rnacentral:rRNA from 1 species
GUAAGGAAUAUUGGACAAUGGGCGCAAGCCUGAACCAGCCAUGCCGCGUGCAGGAAGACGGCCCUCCGGGUUGUAAACUGCUUUUGUACGGGAAUAAACCUCUCUACGUGUAGGGAGCUGAAUGUACCGUAAGAAUAAGGAUCGGCUAACUCCGUGCCAGCAGCCGCGGUAAUACGGAGGAUCCAAGCGUUAUCCGGAUUUAUUGGGUUUAAAGGGUGCGUAGGCGGCCUGUUAAGUCAGGGGUGAAAGACGGUGGCUCAACCAUCGCAGUGCCCUUGAUACUGAUGGGCUUGAAUAGACUAGAGGUAGGCGGAAUGUGACAAGUAGCGGUGAAAUGCAUAGAUAUGUCACAGAACACCGAUUGCGAAGGCAGCUUACUAUGGUCUGAUUGACGCUGAGGCACGAAAGCGUGGGGAUCGAACAGGAUUAGAAACCCCAGUAGUCC